rnacentral:lncRNA from 1 species
GAGAAGGACCGCCUGUGGCAGAGGCUCCAGCAUCUCUCUUCCAUGGCUCCCGAGUGCUGUGUGGCCUGUAGCAAGAUCUUUGGCCGAUUUUCUCGGCGGUAUCCAUGCAGCUGACUACUCAUUCUACCACAUCUGGCUUCCAACACUAAGCAGAGCCAUAAAGGAGAAGAGCAGAAGGAUCAGAUAAGGAAUGGGGUCCGGGGAGUGGGAUUGGGUCCCCCUCCAAGAGCCGAUUGAGAAAUGGGCCUCUCAUCUGGAAGGGAGCAUCUGUACAGCGUAAGCUGCUCCCCCUCCUUCCUCUGUGAGCACAGUGCUAGGACCAGCCUUGGGAGAGAGGAAAGUGAGCCACCAGGAGAAGCUGCCAUGUGGAGGUGGAGGCUCUGGAGGGGUCGGGCAUCAGGACACCCUUCAGGAGAGGGGAGACCUCCUGAGACAAACCAAGGGCAUUCCACUGGGAGAUGAGAAACAGAUGUCUCAGGUGGACCUGAAGAUGCUGGAACUCCAUGACCUCAGCGCCCACUUGGGGAAGUGCCAGCUGCAGAGGCCGCCCCAGGCUUUCCUGCCUCUGCCUUCCAGGCUCUGUGGAGGCCUGCUCUGCCAUGCUUGCUCCAUGGAUUACAAGAAGAGAGACCGCUGCUGCCCACCCUGCGCCCAGGGAAGAGAAGCCCAGGUCACCUGACCAAGACCAAGACCAGCCCAUGACUGGCCUCCCACCUGCCUGCCCAUCCCACUCAAUCCACUCCCUGCCCGUAGCUCUUCCCAGCCCUCUUGUUUGUCCAGUCCUCAUUCUAGACACUGAAGAUCUAAGGCACCAGCACUUCUGUGGGCAGAGUAGGGUGUGGGGAGUGGUUCCAGCCCUGCAACUACCACAACGAGCCAGGUGACUUUGGCGAAGCUCUCAGUGCUCAGGGCUUCUUCUCUAAUGUUAAGAGUUGGGCCCCAUCCUCUCUAAAGUCCCUCUGGGCUCAGCAAAUCCAUGACUGUGGAUAAGACCCCAGCAGCCCUGACAUUUCUCCUCCACACUCCCCACUCACCCAGCAGCGGUGCCCACCUUUCCUGAUUCACGAGAAGUGAAGCCUGCACUAUCUUGGACUCUCCAGCAGCUUCCUGUCUGGAGUCAGCUUCAGGGAUCUGUGUUUGUGUUGCUGUGUUUCUUUUUAUGUUUAUUG